ensembl:snoRNA
GGACCCCCGUGAUGUCCAGCACUGGGCUCUGAUCUUCUAUGCAGAUAUGGUGCUCCCCCGGGACCUUUGACACCCGGGGGCCUGAGGGGUCC